rnacentral:piRNA from 1 species
AUUGAAAAGGGAUGCAGACACU